UUAACUUAUUUUAUAGUACUCGGACAACACAAAAUCAAGAGUUUGGGGUCCUCUGGCAAACACUGACCAGCUAGAGCCGGCAGUCCAAAGACAGGCUUGCCAAAGCAACAAAGGUAUAAUAAACAAAGGGUGGGAGAUCUACCCCGAAGGGCAAGUUCUCUGUAAUGAUCCUUCCGCAGGUUCACCUACGGAACACUAGGUCUACAUUAUUUCAAAGGUAGGCCGGUCAUAUCUGAAUCCCAUAAUUGCACCAACUUGGGACCACCUCCAUUUGAUCUGUGAACUGUACAAGCAGCUGCGUGUUACCUGUAAAAAGAUAUUCAUGCACAGUGGAGAUGUUGCCUACAAUUGUAGACUGAGAUCCAAGGCUUCAUGAAAGGAUCAGAAA
rnacentral:misc_RNA from 1 species